AGAUUCCUGGCCACUUCAAUGGCUGAUUAUAUGUUAUAUUAUAUCCAGACGUGGCUGACGCCGCUGCUGGUUCUGACUGUGAGUCUGUGCUUGCUGAAGUACUGCUGCAAAAUCUGCAGUAAAUUCUCAGACGCUGACUCCGAUCUGGACCUGUCAACCAGCGACCAUGUCUAUGUGAUUCCCAACCCCAUUCACACGAGAGAAGAGAGAGACGAACAAGAUGAGAUCAGCUCUCACGAUGAUUCCGAGUUCACACCACCACCAUAUGAACUAGUGUGUCCACCACCGUCAUAUGAGUCCAGCUUUAAAUUAGAUAUUUCUGACGUUCGAGUGACUCCAGGCUCAGAGAUGGACUCUUCCAGCAUGCCACCGCCACCGUACUGCCCACCUUUGCCCACCGCAUCCAGUCAUCAACAAUAG
rnacentral:lncRNA from 1 species